AGCAGCCGCGGUAAUUCCAGCUCCAAUAGCGUAUAUUAAAGUUGUUGCAGUUAAAAAGCUCGUAGUUGAAUUUCGGGGUUAGUAGGUUGGUCAUGCCUCUGGUAUGUAAUGGUCUCACUGAUUCCUCCUUCCUGAUGAGCCGUAAUGCCAUUAAUUUGGUGUUGCGAGGAAUUUGGACUGUUACUUUGAAAAAUUAGAGUGUUUAAAGCAAGCUAACGCUUGAAUACAUUAGCAUGGAAUAAUGAAAUAGGACGUUCGAUCCUAUUUUGUUGGUUUCUAGGAUUGACGUAAUGAUUAAUAGGGAUAGUUGGGGGCAUUAGUAUUCAAUUGUCAGAGGUGAAAUUCUUGGAUUUAUUGAAGACUAACUACUGCGAAAGCAUUUGCCAAGGAUGUUUUCAUUAA
rnacentral:rRNA from 1 species